rnacentral:rRNA from 1 species
GUGUCAGCCGCCGCGGUAAUACGGGGGGGGCAAGCGUUGUUCGGAAUUACUGGGCGUAAAGGGUUCGUAGGUGGCCGACUAAGUCAGACGUGAAAUCCCUCAGCUCAACUGGGGAACUGCGUCUGAGACUGGCCGGCUUGAGUGCAGGAGAGGAACGCGGAAUUCCAGGUGUAGCGGUGAAAUGCGUAGAUAUCUGGAGGAACACCGGUGGCGAAGGCGGCGUUCUGGACUGCUACUGACACUGAGGAACGAAAGCCAGGGGAGCAAACGGGAUUAGAAACCCGAGUAGUCC